CGUCGCGCGGUUGAAUGAGCCGAUGUCGGAUUAGCUAGUUGGCGGGGUAAAGGCCCACCAAGGCGACGAUCCGAAGCUGGUCUGAGAGGAUGAUCAGCCUCACUGGAACUGAGACACGGUCCAGACUCCUACGGGAGGCAGCAGUGGGGAAUAUUGGACAAUGGGCGCAAGCCUGAUCCAGCCAUGCCGCGUGGGUGAAG
rnacentral:rRNA from 1 species